rnacentral:rRNA from 1 species
AGCUCCAAUAGCGUAUAUUAAAGUUGUUGCAGUUAAAAAGCUCGUAGUCGGACUUCGGGCGUGCCGCACGACUCGGCCUCUGGUCGUGCUUGUGUGGUGCGCCUUCCUUCCAGCGAGUGCGUGGGCUCUUCACUGGGUUUGCGUAUGAGUUGGGAUGUUUACUGUGAACAAAUUAGAGUGUUCAAAGCAGGCCAAUGCUGUGAAUACAUUAGCAUGGAAUAAUAGAAUAGGACUUUGGUUUUAUUUUGUUGGUUUCUGAGACCGAAGUAAUGAUUAAUAGGGAUAGUUGGGGGCACUCGUAUUUCAUUGUCAGAGGUGAAAUUCUUGGAUUUAUGAAAGACGAACAGCUGCGAAAGCGUUUGCCAAGGAUGUUUUCACUGAUCAAGAACGAAAGUACGCA